GGUUGAAGUUCAGGUAACACUGAAUGGAGGACCGAACCGACUUACGUUGAAAAGUGAGCGGAUGAACUGAGGGUAGCGGAGAAAUUCCAAUCGAACCUGGAGAUAGCUGGUUCUCUCCGAAAUAGCUUUAGGGCUAGCCUCAAGUGAUGAUUAUUGGAGGUAGAGCACUGUUUGGACGAGGGGCCCCUCUCGGGUUACCGAAUUCAGACAAACUCCGAAUGCCAAUUAAUUUAACUUGGGAGUCAGAACAUGGGUGAUAAGGUCCGUGUUCGAAAGGGAAACAGCCCAGACCACCAGCUAAGGUCCCAAAAUAUAUGUUAAGUGGAAAAGGAUGUGGCGUUGCCCAGACAACUAGGAUGUUGGCUUAGAAGCAGCCAUCAUUUAAAGAGUGCGUAAUAGCUCACUAGUCGAGUGACACUGCGCCGAAAAUGUACCGGGGCUAAACAUAUUACCGAAGCUGUGGAUUGUCCUUUGGACAAUGGUAGGAGAGCGUUCUAAGGGCGUUGAAGCAUGAUCGUAAGGACAUGUGGAGCGCUUAGAAGUGAGAAUGCCGGUGUGAGUAGCGAAAGACGGGUGAGAAUCCCGUCCACCGAUUGACUAAGGUUUCCAGAGGAAGGCUCGUCCGCUCUGGGUUAGUCGGGUCCUAAGCUGAGGCCGACAGGCGUAGGCGAUGGAUAACAGGUUGAUAUUCCUGUACCACCUAUAAUCGUUUUAAUCGAUGGGGGGACGCAGUAGGAUAGGCGAAGCGUGCGAUUGGAUUGCACGUCUAAGCAGUAAGGCUGAGUAUUAGGCAAAUCCGGUACUCGUUAAGGCUGAGCUGUGAUGGGGAGAAGACAUUGUGUCUUCGAGUCGUUGAUUUCACACUGCCGAGAAAAGCCUCUAGAUAGAAAAUAGGUGCCCGUACCGCAAACCGACACAGGUAGUCAAGAUGAGAAUUCUAAGGUGAGCGAGCGAACUCUCGUUAAGGAACUCGGCAAAAUGACCCCGUAACUUCGGGAGAAGGGGUGCUCUUUAGGGUUAACGCCCAGAAGAGCCGCAGUGAAUAGGCCCAAGCGACUGUUUAUCAAAAACACAGGUCUCUGCUAAACCGUAAGGUGAUGUAUAGGGGCUGACGCCUGCCCGGUGCUGGAAGGUUAAGAGGAGUGGUUAGCUUCUGCGAAGCUACGAAUCGAAGCCCCAGUAAACGGCGGCCGUAACUAUAACGGUCCUAAGGUAGCGAAAUUCCUUGUCGGGUAAGUUCCGACCCGCACGAAAGGCGUAACGAUUUGGGCACUGUCUCAACGAGAGACUCGGUGAAAUCAUAGUACCUGUGAAGAUGCAGGUUACCCGCGACAGGACGGAAAGACCCCGUGGAGCUUUACUGUAGCCUGAUAUUGAAAUUCGGCACAGCUUGUACAGGAUAGGUAGGAGCCUUUGAAACGUGAGCGCUAGCUUACGUGGAGGCGCUGGUGGGAUACUACCCUAGCUGUGUUGGCUUUCUAACCCGCACCACUUAUCGUGGUGGGAGACAGUGUCAGGCGGGCAGUUUGACUGGGGCGGUCGCCUCCUAAAAGGUAACGGAGGCGCUCAAAGGUUCCCUCAGAAUGGUUGGAAAUCAUUCAUAGAGUGUAAAGGCAUAAGGGAGCUUGACUGCGAGACCUACAAGUCGAGCAGGGUCGAAAGACGGACUUAGUGAUCCGGUGGUUCCGCAUGGAAGGGCCAUCGCUCAACGGAUAAAAGCUACCCCGGGGAUAACAGGCUUAUCUCCCCCAAGAGUUCACAUCGACGGGGAGGUUUGGCACCUCGAUGUCGGCUCAUCGCAUCCUGGGGCUGUAGUCGGUCCCAAGGGUUGGGCUGUUCGCCCAUUAAAGCGGUACGCGAGCUGGGUUCAGAACGUCGUGAGACAGUUCGGUCCCUAUCCGUCGUGGGCGUAGGAAAUUUGAGAGGAGCUGUCCUUAGUACGAGAGGACCGGGAUGGACAUACCUCUGGUGUACCAGUUGUCGUGCCAACGGCAUAGCUGGGUAGCUAUGUGUGGACGGGAUAAGUGCUGAAAG
rnacentral:rRNA from 1 species